rnacentral:lncRNA from 1 species
CCAUUUGACGAUUAAUAAAGAGUGUUCUAUUUUGUUCACCAAUAUAUACUAUACUAUGUAUUUUGUUCCAUUCUAAUUGGGUUUUAGGGUAUAUAUUUGGGUUUAGGGUUUAGUAAUUAGGAUUUAGGGUUUAGUAUUUGAAAAAUAGAAGUUGAGGUUUGGGUUUAGUGAUAGCAGUUUAGGGUUUAGAAUUCAAAAUUUAGGUCUGUAAUUAGGAUUUAGAAUUUGUGUUUUGGGUUAGAACCAUAUACUAUUCAAAAGUUAGGCUUCAAUAUAGUUUAAUAUUAUACUAUUUUCAUAUUUUGAUACUUGGGUUUAGGGUUGAUAAUUAAAGUUUAUAUUUGGGUUUAGUAUUUUAAAGUUUGGUUAGCGUUUAGUAUUUAAAAGUUGUGUAUUGGGUUAAUAUGGAAUGCAUUAUUUAUUGAAAAGUUUUAUAUUUUUUUCUAUUUAUUUUACUGCCAUUCAGUCACCUAAUUAUAGUUUAUAUUUGGAUUAGGAUUUAUGAAUCAGUAUUUAGGAGUUGGGAUAGUGUUUAGUCUUUAAAGAUUAUGGAUGUGGUUUUUAGUUCUUCUAUAUUACUUCGUGUGAUGUGGAAUAUAACACUCAGUGCAUACAUAUGUGGUCAAUAAAUAUGUAACGUAGAUGUCUCUUUUGUCUUCACUCCUGGCCAUAUAUUAUUUGCUAUAAUACUAGCCAUAUUUUUCUUUGUUUACGUCAUCUCAUUUUCUUCCAUUUCAUUUGUUACUUGUAUAAGAAAAG